CUCUGAGCCACAAUCCCAGCCCCCUCAUCAUUAUUUUAGAUCUUUGCCAAUGAUAGGGUAAUUUUUUAUCUACAUUUCUCUUCUGUGAGAAUGUUAGAAUCUUUUGCUAUUUUGAGUCAUUGUAUUUUCUCUUCUGAAACCUUGUUUGAAUUAUGUUCUUUGGCUUUUUAUUAGAAUUUUAUAUUUAGUUGUAAGUCGGUAUAUGUUUUUAUUUAUUUACUUAUUUAAUUUUGUGUUAUGAAGGAUUGAACACAGAGGCACUCUACCCCUAAGUUAAAUCCCCAACCCAUAUUAAUUUUUGAGACAGGGUCUUACUAAGUUGCUGAGUCUGGCCUUGAACUUGUGUUCCUCCUGUCUCAGUCUCCCAAGUACCCGGAAUCAUAGGUGUGUGCCACCAUUCCCAGAAAGUUAGUAUGUGUGUGUGUGUGUGUGUGUUUUAAUGUUUUUUGUAGUUGUAUAUGAAGAGAAUGCCUUUUUUUGUUGUUGUUUAUUUUUGUGUGUGUGUGGUGCUAAGGAUCAAACCCAGUGCCUCACACAUUCUAGGCAAGUGUUCUGCCACUGAGCUACAGCCCCAGCUCUAGUAUAUAUUUUUAAAGAUCAUUCCAGUUACCCUAUGGAGUUACGUAGGUACAAGAUCAUGAAGUUCAAAGAAGGGUGGCAGCAGUGUGAUAAAGAAGUGGCUGGAUUCGGAUGAGGAAUUGACAGGAGGUGGAGAUGAUGUGACGUGGGGCUUGAGAGUAAGGAAAACAUCAUAGAUGUACUUUACAUGUGGAGCAUCACACCUGGAUGAACAGAGGCACCAUGUUCUGAAAGGAGAAAGAUGCAAGAGCAGGGAGUCGAGGAUGGAAGGCUGGUACCAAGAAAUUUGGCUUGAAAUUUAUAAAAUUCUUUUUCUAAAAGCCUCACAAUAGUGAUUUUACUAAAUUGGUUGCUGGGCUGGGGUUGUGGCUCAGUGAUAGAGCACUUGUCUAGCAUGUGCAAGGCACUGGGUUCGAUUCUCAGCACUGCAUUUAAAUAAGUAAAUAAAAUAAAGGUCCAUAAACAACAAAUAAAAAUAUUUUUUAAAAAACAUUGCAGAUGUCAUAAUUGUUAACAUGACUUUACCAAACUAUAGUUAACUGGUGCAGUUCACUGAGCUUAUUUUACAAAGAAAAGAAAAUGCCAAAACUCUGACAAAGUUGUUCCAUUGCAGCCUUUUCUUGCUUAUUUUUCACUGUAAAGCACAGUUAAUGAAUUGGUUAUCUCCUUCAACACAUCAAUUUUCAACAAAAUACAUCUUGAACUAAGACUUCCAAAAAACUAGUGUAAUUAACUUUUCAUACUGUGUAAUUUUAUCUUUUAGUAAAUUUCCAUACUCUGAAACCAUCCUUUGAAAAUGGAUUCAUAGCAUCUAUUCCAAAAACUCUGUUAUUAACACCAAAAGUUUCCUUUGCUAAUUCAAGAUCUGACUCUUCCUGUAAUUUCUGAAGCCGCAGUUUAGAUAUCUGCUAAUUAUUCUGGUGUUGUGUUUGUACUUUAGGUUUUUCAGGUUCUUCUAACCUCUUUUUU
rnacentral:lncRNA from 1 species